AGAUUCCUACGGGAGGCAGCAGUGAGGAAUAUUGGUCAAUGGGCGCGAGCCUGAACCAGCCAAGUAGCGUGAAGGAUGACUGCCCUACGGGUUGUAAACCUCUUUUGCCGGGGAGCAACGGGGUCCUUGCGAGGUCCCAAUGAGAGUACCCGGAGAAAAAGCAUCGGCUAACUCCGUGCCAGCAGCCGCGGUAAUACGGAGGAUGCGAGCGUUAUCCGGAUUUAUUGGGUUUAAAGGGUGCGUAGGCGGGCUGUUAAGUCAGCGGGCAAAUGUCGGGGCUAAACCCCGG
rnacentral:rRNA from 1 species